GUAUCCAUGAUUGAUAGGAAUUUCUUUCCCAAGCAGCGGGAUUUUGGUAACUUAACCUACAACAUGAAAGAAGGAAAAUAUAUUACAAAUAUGUCGCAAUUCCAAAGUUAAGCCUCAAGGGCAUUAGUUUUAAAAGUACGUUAAAGGGCUGUCAAAUAUUUUACCGCUUCAGAUCUUGAUGGAACAUGGCUUCUCCGCUUCCUUUGUCUGCUAUCCAUGUGUUUAUUAAAUGAAGUGCUUAUUUUCCUUGAGUAUUUUCAGCAACGGUGUAAACUAGUAGUUGGGGAAAAUUAUGCACUAAGAGAUU
rnacentral:lncRNA from 1 species